CCACGUGGCUGGCCCAUAAUAAUCUAUAAUACGCUGGGGAGGCCAUUCAUUAUCUUCCCAGGCACCUAUCUCUAUGGGUCCCCUUUUCUUCCUAUGAUUCACAUCAUACACUUUAACACCUAAAGUCUCACCUGUUUCAAUAGGCAACAAGAAGAAGGAUGGUUUUAACAUACCCAACACACAUGCCCCUUCCCAGUCCUGUGGUAACUCCGAAUAGGCCUUCUUACC